CAGUCGCCGCGGGAAUACGAAGGGGGCUAGCGUUGUUCGGAAUUACUGGGCGUAAAGCGCACGUAGGCGGAUACUUAAGUUAGGGGCGAAAUCCCAGGGCUCAACCCUGGAACUGCCUUUAAUACUGGGUAUCUUGAGUUCGAGAGAGGUAAGUGGAAUUCCGAGUGUAGAGGUGAAAUUCGUAGAUAUUCGGAGGAACACCAGUGGCGAAGGCGGCUUACUGGCUCGAUACUGACGCUGAGGUGCGAAAGCGUGGGGAGCAAACAGGAUUAGAGACCCGCGUAGUCCCUGUCUCUUAUAC
rnacentral:rRNA from 1 species